CUCGUAGGCGGUUUGUCGCGUCUGCUGUGAAAAUCCGAGGCUCAACCUCGGACCUGCAGUGGGUACGGGCAAACUAGAGUGCGGUAGGGGAGAUUGGAAUUCCUGGUGUAGCGGUGGAAUGCGCAGAUAUCAGGAGGAACACCAAUGGCGAAGGCAGAUCUCUGGGCCGUAACUGACGCUGAGGAGCGAAAGCGUGGGGAGCGAACA
rnacentral:rRNA from 1 species